rnacentral:lncRNA from 1 species
CGAAUGUGAUUUCGCGUGUGUAGAUGUAGCCGGCGCAGAUGCAUCUUGCAGGAUUUUACAAGUCAGAAAAUGAUAAAAUUUUUGAAAUGUAUCACUUUAUUAUUCUAUUUAAUGAUAAAUUUUUACAAUAAAAUAAAGCUAAAAUUUAUAGGAUAGUAAAGUAAAAUAAGCUAGCCACAGGGGUCUUUUUUGAAGUUUAUUCUAAAGUUUAAUAUUUGAAGUGGAGCUUUGUAAAUGGGAAGGAAGUUAAGAGUAGAAGAUAUAAUAAAGGUGGAAAAUAAGUUAAAUUUGAUAAAAUAGUUUCUCACCAUAAAAUUAUUUAGAAAUGUAAAUUGUUAAUUAAGAGGAAUGCUUCAAUACACCAUAAAUAUUAAAAUCUAACUCUUAAUUAGUAAAUGAUAUAGUUGGGUUUUACAUGAAAUAACCUGUUGAAUAGGUUACUGAUUUAAAUUAGUUAAUAUGACAACAUUUUUUUAAAAAAAAUAGUAGUAUAUACUAAAUUUGUCAGCAUUCUAUAAAUAUUAAAUAUCUUAUUUACUUUUGUUACUUACCAAAUUAGAUAAUACCUAAUUUGUUAAGUAUCCAGCUCAAAAAAAUAU